UGACCAUAUAGCAUUGAAACACUGGUUCUCAUAUGAUCAUCAAAGUUAAGCAAUGUAAAGCCUGGUCAUUACCUAGAUGAGUGACUACUUGGGAAUCCCAAGUGCU